rnacentral:misc_RNA from 1 species
UCUAAGGAUGAUCCUUCAGCGAGCUCACGCUCACUAUCGGAUCGUUUUAGAAACAUCAGUGGCCAACAGAUCGCCAGAUCGUUGAGCUGCAUUGGCGGGAUUUCGCCGUCUUCGUUUCUCUUUCUUCGCGGACGAACACGCGCUGGGCCUGCAACGGCAGGAUCCAGGGUCCUUAACGGGAUGUGCGUUAGGGGCUUGUAGCUCAGUUGGUUAGAGCGCGCGCUUGAUAAGCGUGAGGUCGGAAGUUCAAGUCUUCCCAGGCCCACCACUUUCAUCGAGUGUGCAUUCGUCUUCUGGUUACGGGGCCAUAGCUCAGCUGGGAGAGCGCGUGCUUUGCAAGCAUGAGGUCGUCGGUUCGAUCCCGUCUGGCUCCACCAGAUGGUUUGAUCACCGAGAUCUUGUACCGUCGUCCGCGAAACAUCACUUCGCAUCCUGCUAGUCUGGAUAGACAGCAAGAUGCGUGUUUUCUGACAUCGUAAAGAGGAGAUCGAUCCGAGUUGGGUCGUGUAGCAGAUUGCUGCGCGAGCCUUCAUUAUCUCCGGAUCAUUUUCGGCGCUCGCGUCCGACCGCAAGGUUGGCUGCGAGUUGUAAAAUGAUCCUUUUAGCGAAGCUUGACCGCCUCGCUAUCGGAACGAUCUUACGAAGCAAGCUGGUCUUUCUAGUCAAUGUCCGGCUGUACGUAGCGUUCAUCGAGGGCGCGCGCCGCAAGGCAAUCGUACAGACAACAUUCUGCCGAGUGUGUGGACAUUGAUAAUGAGAGCAAUCAAGUGCCUUAAGGGUGUUCGGUGGAUGCCUUGGCGCUGAGAGGCGAUGAAGGACGUGCUACGCUGCGAUAAGCCGUGGGGAGCUGCGAAGAAGCUUUGAUCCGCGGAUU